GUCUUCUGUUAUUCAAGAGCCCCUUUCUCUCACAUGGGUGUUUAUGCUGAGGAGGUGACUUAGGGUGGGGCCGCUAGAUAGCCCCAGGAUAAAGCUGGUGGCCAGAAAGACCCUGUGAUCAGAGAGAUGGGACUUCCAGCCCCAUCCACCAACCUCCGAGAAGGGGAGCAGGGCUGAAGAUUAAUUUCUAUCAACCUCUUGAGCAAUGGAGAUUUGAUGAGCUUUUAGGCAUCAGGCAAGAGCCUACCAAGGAGUUUGUGAGUUUUUAAAAAGGUUUUUACUUCGAGUGACAAGGUCAGCAAUAGAACACUCUCACACCAUUAAGAUCCUAACUGGUUAAAAGCCUUACAGUGAUAUUCAGAAGCUACUUUUCAGAAGAAACCAACCAACAGCAAAUGAAAUCAGAUUUCUUGAGGAGAGCCCUGGGAGGCAGGUGGAUUAAUGGGGAUCAUCUUAUUGGAAAAGCAAGAAAACACUCCUGCGAUACAGUCCGGAUGAGUGCAGGUUAUAGAUGAAUCUUUAAGAAGAUGCUGUCAUGUUUAUUACAUCCCAUGGUUUCAAAACAUAUUUCCUCCCCCAGAGGUUCAAAGAGGAAAAAAAAAUUAAGAGCUUCAAAAACAACAGAAUUGCAGGCCUUCAUUUAUUUUUACAGUUCACUGGGUCUGUAAUGUAUUAAACAUGAGAGGCUCCUCUAGACCAGCCUGUUUUUAAUAAGUGUGCCUUGCUAAUUCCCCUGCAUUUGCUUAAUGAACAUGAGAGCUGCAGAGCAGAAUCAGGGUGUUCUUGAACCGCAUGCAGCUAAACACAUGCUCGCUUAGGUGUUUGAUGAAUGCAAAGCUGACGUUUAAGGUGUGCUAAGGGAGAUGUCCAAAAUUAUAGAUGUUCCUAUUAAUUUAUUAAUGCAAUUAAUUAGUCAACAAAUAGUUAUUAACUAUAGCUGCUAUUUAUUGGGAACUUGUUAUGAGCCAAGCCUGUGCUAAAACAUUGUUUAAUCAUCACUGAAUUCCUGAGAAGCAGGAACCAUUAUCUCUACUUUCCCAAAGGCACGAUAACAAUCAGAGACAAGAUUUGACUCCAGACCUGUUUUACUACAGAGCCUCUGCUCUAAAUCAGUCUCAUGCUGAUUUAGAGCCACCAAAUUACAGGGAAAUUCCCUGUUGGAGAAUAUAAAACCAUAUAUCUAUGGCCCCUAACUGCUUGCUAUAAGUUUAUGGUAUCUUCACGUACUAGGGCAUACACAUAAACUGUUAACCAGUGACUCAGGACAGCUUGUCAGCUCCCAGUGAUGGCACGGAAAGUAAGUGCUGCAGCAUUCAAGGGUGCGUGUGAUCCUGUCCUGGAGUUACCAAGAAUGUUUCCAACGGGGAAGAUCAUGAACAGGCUUUCUGGUAGUGGUUUUGGGAGAGGAGGCUUGAAGGCAGCCCAGGCUAAUGUUUUCAUAAGUUCUGGGUAGGUUAGAAGGUGAGGGCAGACAGUCUAAAAGCACCUUUGCAUGUGCUUGCAAAAAUCUAAAGAGAAAAGAUUCAUUUCCAUGGUCACUGUAGUAGCUAACGUAGUUUCAAUCUACGGUAACAUAGAUUUUUAACAUAGUUAGAUAACAUAGUAUUUAACACAGUUCAUAUCUAUGGUAACAAGCCUAUAAUAAAGCUAAUAAUACUACCACC
rnacentral:lncRNA from 1 species